rnacentral:rRNA from 1 species
AUUGAACGCUGGCGGCAGGCCUAACACAUGCAAGUCGAGCGGAUGAAGGGAGCUUGCUCCUGGAUUCAGCGGCGGACGGGUGAGUAAUGCCUAGGAAUCUGCCUGGUAGUGGGGGAUAACGUCCGGAAACGGGCGCUAAUACCGCAUACGUCCUGAGGGAGAAAGUGGGGGAUCUUCGGACCUCACGCUAUCAGAUGAGCCUAGGUCGGAUUAGCUAGUUGGUGGGGUAAAGGCCUACCAAGGCGACGAUCCGUAGCUGGUCUGAGAGGAUGAUCAGUCACACUGGAACUGAGACACGGUCCAGACUCCUACGGGAGGCAGCAGUGGGGAAUAUUGGACAAUGGGCGAAAGCCUGAUCCAGCCAUGCCGCGUGUGUGAAGAAGGUCUUCGGGUUGUAAAGCACUUUAAGUUGGGAGGAAGGGCAGUAAGUUAAUACCUUGCUGUUUUGACGUUACCAACAGAAUAAGCACCGGCUAACUUCGUG